UGCAGGUCCAGAGCAGUCCAUGAAGGCUGUAACAGUGCUCCCCCCCAGCCCCCAGGAAGAUGUCUGUGCUUACGGCGAGGUGCCCCUGUGACUUUGGGGAGAAGGACGCUCCUUCAAGGAGCUGCCUCUACCUGGUCUCAUCUGGCAGGAAAUGCACAGUGGGUAAGGGUCGAGCACCUUGGUCUUGGCACCAGGCUGGUCACCUCUCCCAGAACUCAGUCAUAUUUCUGCACUGUUCUACCUUACCAGGAAGGAAGCUCUUUUUCUCAAUUUCCUUUAAAGGUACAUUCCCUUAUCAGCCUGCCAACCUCCUGCAAUCGAACUCCGGGGCUGCAAACAGUGAGUAAACAUACAAGCUGCUCCUGCUUUGAUGCCCCCAGGAAAUGUCACAACUCACUCGGUUCUGUGAGCGGGCCCAGCCACAGCUGACCUCUGCCCAGAGCUGACCCUGCCAGAGCAUCCUUGUCCCAUCCCUCUAGGCCCCUGCCUGUGUGCCUGGCCGGUGACAAGGCCAAGUCAGAUGCCCUUCUACUGUGAAGCCUUCCUGGACUCUGUGACAAGAAGUCUGACCAGAAGACGCCCUUCUCAAGGGGAGCAGCUGGGCACUGAGCAAAUGUCGCCCCAGGAUAUGCCUACCUGAGGCCAGGGCCCCGUCCCGGGAGACUCUCAUCCUGGCUGUGGGGCUGGCCUGGCACCAAGAAGUGCUGAAGCUCCACAGGGCAUUCUAUGGCUCCAUCAGGUGGCAGAACCACGGAUGGAGAGUUUUCUAGAUUUGUAUGCUUGCGGGAACUCCCCAGAGUGUCAAAGUACAACUUUAAAGGCUCCUCCACUAGCCCUGGGACGGGGCUGGGGCUCCCUGUUUUUAAGCACCCAAGGAGUCUCAGGGUUUGGCACACUUUAAAAGCCCUGCCGUUAUUCAACUGCAAAGAAGGAGCACAGAACUUGGGUCUCUGCCAUUUAUUAGCAGGGGCCACUGGGCAAGAAAAUAAUUGAUUUUCUUGGAACCUCCUGCCCCACUGCUGUCCCCCCCACCUCCUGAAGGUGGCAGCACUAAUGGAUGGAAGUGCCCACCUUCCGUGAUCUGGAGACUACCUACCGCCUCUCAGUGCGUGGAGACUGUGCGGUUUGCCAGCUCUCCACCAGACACCUGUGUCCCUUCCACUGCAGGCCACUGCUACCUGAGACAGCUGACAGGCUGACCUGCACAGGGGCCAAAGAUCUUCGUGCCCGUAGAUAAAUAGGCAAAGAAAAAAAAAAUCACACUCCACAGGGAGUUGAACACACCAGGCAGAGGAAAUGAAGAUGCAAAAAAGACAUUUAAUUUCUUUUUUAAAGACAUUUAAUUUCUUAAAAAAAGAAGUGUUAAAGAGAUACAGUAGAAUGUAAAAAGAUUUUCUUUUUUUUCCUUUUUUUAAAGUAGACCCCAUACCCAACGUGGGUCUUGAACUCACAACCCUGAGAUCAAGAGUCAGAUGCUCUAUGGACUGAGCCAGCCGGGUGCCCCUAAAAAGACCUUCUGCGGCCACAAAACAUGAUUUCUGAAUUGAAAAUUCAACAGAGAAAUGGGAAAAGAGAAGAGUCACUGUGAGAUCUAAUUUGUUUCCUGCACAAAAUGUAUUCAUUAAGGAAGUAAUUACUGAGCACCUGUCACAUGCCAGGCACUGCUCUGUACAAAAUGGAAGAAAACAUAACACAAAUACAGAGCAAACACACAAAGAAAUGGAAGCCAUGAUGGGGAUUACGGAGGGCACUUGUUGUGAUGAGCACUGGGUGUUUUAUGGAAGUGAUGAAUACUGUAUACCUAAAACAAAUAUGACACUGUAUGUUAACUAACUGGAAUUAAAAUAAAAACUUAAAAAGAAAAGAAAACACAAGAGACA